rnacentral:pre_miRNA from 1 species
CCCUUAACUAUUAAAAGUUUCGUUUUGGUCCUUUAACUUACUUUUUGGUUUCGUUUUGGUCCCUUAACUUAUUUUUUGGUUUCAUUUUGGUCCCUUAACUCUAAUACAUUCAUCCUAACAUAAAGGACCAAAGUGGUUGACAGAGGAUGAGUUAAGGGACCAAAAAGUAAGUUAAAGGACCAAAACGAAACUUUUAAUAGUUAAGGUA